GAAGAGGAGACUGGCAUAAAGUUCAAACUUGAAGACAUAGUUGAUCUCACUGCUUUCUUGGAUUCUUCAACAGGAUGCAGAUUUUUUCCCUCACCGACAGUAGACUAUAAGAGACUAACCUAUGAAGAAGUUGAGAACCUCUAAGCCUUACUUCCAAGGGAGUGCAAUAUCUGCCAAAUGCAAAUCGGCGAAAUGGUGAACUUUAUGGAUUCAAAAUGCUAGUAUUAGAAUGGAUAACUUGAACCCUUAAUGCACAAAGUGGAGCAGUUUUAGG